AGCAGAUUUGCAAAGGAAAAAAACACAACAACACACGCACGGGCUCGCCUCCUCUCCCUCUCGCCCAUUAAGUCGCCGCCGCCGCCGCCCACACCGGCCGCUUCCGGCGACCUCCAGCGUCGCGCAGCAUGCCCCCGAGCUCCCCACGGUCCGCGCCUUCCUUCCCUCCGGCUAGAUUCUCCGCUCCCGGACUCUACCACACGCUCGCAACCCCACCCCGUGGCUAGGGUUUCGGGCAGGGCUUCGCCGGCGCGUCUCCGGCGACCCCAGAUGCAGAUGGAGCACGCCGUUAGAUUUCCCCAUCCACCACGGUCGCCGCCGUCAAGGGCUUCUUCACGGAUCUGGGACGCCAUGGACAUGCAGCUCCUCAAGGACUUUCUAUUGAAACAUCUUGUCCAUCAUGUGUAGAACAUGAUGCACCGUUAAGUCAAGGUUCAGGACGACGUAUAUCGUAGCCCCAUGCUGGCUUUUUUCCAAUGCAGGACCUUCUACAUCUCUGCAUAUCGAUCCAUUUUGGACCUCAGUAGAAAAUUCAUCAUUUUAGUGUCCAUCUGAAGAAUCACAUCGUGAUAGGAACAAGGACAAUGGCUGGCAUGUUGGUAGGAAUCUGAGAUGAUAAAAAAUAGUACUCAUCCAACUGCUAACUGAAUAUGCUGGAAAUUAGCUCAUAGUUACACAUAUAUUAUUACUGGGGCAGUACUGUCCUAGACUUGCAUAUUCAGAAUUAAUUGAUCUCACACAGUAGUGCCAUUUGUCGACACACCGUAUGAUAUAUGAAUAAAACCAUAAAAGUGUAUAUGAAACUUUAUAAUCUGGCACUUCGUUUCAUGCCUACAUCAAUGCAAUGUCCUUUUUAUGUUAUCAUGGCAUACAUAGAUAAUUAAAUGAGGAUUCUUUGAUAAUGUCUCCAUCUCUUGAGCUAAGCACAUGCUGUCAACAUCAUGGAACGACAUGGAGCUGCAGACAUGCACUUUGGAGCAGAGGUUGACUUGCAGCUGCGUCUGCAAUCUCCCAAACAAAUGAGCAGCACCAUGCAGUUGUGGGCUUGCAGCAGGUUGGCGGGCGAAUGGUCAUAGCAGGAAUACAACGGGCAUGUCGACUGCUGCGAGUAUUCCAUUCAAGUCGACAACUACAUUUGCAAGAGUUUUACACCACCGUAUGAUCGAUGAAUUCGAGGUCUGAGGCCCGUCCAAGGGCUAGAGCAGAUUCAUCGGACGGUGGAGUUGAGUGACCCACUCAUUGAUACCAGGUGUGCUCAAGUGAAGCCAGGGAUUUGAUCCAUCCAUCUCGGAGCGCAUGAAUCAACAGAGGAUCCAUCCAGUCAAACAAGUGAAUUUAGGCUUGAUUAAUUAGCAGGAGCAUACGAGUGUCUUUUGCACAUGUAGUUUAGGUUUGUACAGGUUCAGGUAGUCAACUGUUAAGCAUGGUAGGAUCCGCAAGCUGGGCAGUAGGCAGCGUCACGGUACGAUCCAGCAGGAAGGCGGAGGAGGCGGCCCGUGGUGACUGGGGAGGAUACAAAGGGGGAUGGAGAGGUUGCGGGAAAUUUAUGGGUCUGGACUGGAGCAGAGGGAGAUAGAGAAUGGGUGAGAAAGAUGGAGAUGUUGAUAGGUAAUACCUGUUGGAAAGAGAUGUUGAUAGUUUACUUUUCUUCAUCUCCAACGCAACUAUCAACUGAUGCGCUGACUGUAUCAUCACAGUUCUCAUGUAAGCAAAGGAUCUUGCUUCUUCCCAAAUUAGAUUUUGAAGUAUUUCACUUCUAUUGUUUCUCCAGGUAUACUGCAUUUGAUCACGGUUCUCAUGUGAUCGGCUACCUGCAGAUCUACAUACUAGGGCGAUAAUAUGCAAUGUAGGAGUCUUGACCAUCCAAUGAUUUAUUUGUGUUUGGUUUUGCUGCAUCGGUCAAUAUGUGCAUAUCCUUGGAUGUAGUAUUGCUUUUCCUAAGUGUGUUUUGUAGAUCAGAUAAUGAUUCGCAAUGUACUAGGAGGUUUGGACAGCAAGUGAUUGUCACCAACACCAAGGAUCAGGUUCCUACCAGAAGAACCCAAAGCAGAGCAAGAGAAGGAAAAUGAAGGUGAAGUUGCAGGUUCUGUUGGAGAGAGGGCUUCAUCACAUACUUGCUGCGAAGGCCAUGUUGUCGAGGAGCCGGUGACUGCCGCUCCAGCUGCCUCGCGCCAUGCCCCGUCGUGUGGGGUGCAUUGUGAGAGUUCUGCAUCAGGCUCGCGCCACCGCUCCGGCAGGUACUCAACGCGCAAUCAUGGGUUGUUGUGUUAACUUGAUACAGUUGCUGAUAACAGUGAUGCGGCACUCUAGCUAAUAGGCAGUAUUGGUGUCGACUGGAGCAACUAGAGUCGCUAGCUGUUAUGCUAAAAGAAUAGGGUGGAUUUGCUUCAUGCAAGAAGACAGUAAGGAUAAAGCAGCAAAAAGCAGGCCAUUAGUGGUGAUGGAUAAUUUCUCCAAUCAAUUUAACGUAGAUGCCUUCCAACAUUGCACACUAAGCGAUUGCAUUUUUUAGAUAUAUAGAAAGGUGGCUUCUGUUUUCAAGAAAGUUGGCAUGGCGUGAUUGUUAAUUUUUUAUGCCAACAAUUACAUAAGCUUGGCUGACAAGUAUACAUUCUGAAAUGAUAUUGACAUAUUUAGACCGAACCUUUAAACCUAGCAUAUUUAUUUUUCUCACCUAAUGAUUUUUAUUAUGUAUGAUAUGUAUUGCAUAGACUGCUGGAUUUGACAUUACAAUCUGGAACUAAAUAAAUAAAAAUAGAGAAAUUCAUAUAGUGGCAGUAAAGUGCUAACAAGUUAUAAUCUGUUUUUAGUUGCAUUACAGUAAGAGGAAACCUUUAUUUUACUUGUGAGCAUUGUAAUUGUUUGCGAAGGGCUAAUGUUAAUAAGAUAUGCAUACAAAUCUUAGCCUGGAGGCCGUGCUUUGUUCAAAGUAGCUGGGUAUAUGUACAAUAAAUAAAUAUUCAUGUGUUAUCUUGGUACUGUACAAUAUUGUUGAGAGUGGUU
rnacentral:rRNA from 1 species